AUACAAGAGCAAGGGGAUGGUUAGGAAAGGACACGGUCUCUGAGAGAGGGGGAAGUCCCUCCCUCCUCUUAUUAUGACAAGCAUGCUAUAGUGGCAAGACUGCGGAUCGGCCACUUCCUAGAUGGGCACAUUUGACCUCUCUCACUCUCAGAUCUUCAUUUGUAAAAUUGGGAUAUGUUCUUUUUUCCCUUCAUGGUUGUUGUGAGCAUUAAAUACAAUAAUGGAUGUGAAAAACGCUAACGCAGAGCCUGAAACAGUAGUCCCGUCCUAAAUGUGAGCUUCCCUCUCUGAAAUUUCCCAGAGAUGCCUUCGCCUUUUUCUCUAGCUCCCUCUGCUGGCCGGCCGGGCCGCUCCUCUUCUCUGCCUCUCUGUCUCCAGCUGGGGAAGGAGGAGGAAAAGGGCAGUCAGGGUGGAGCUGCAGCUACUGUUCCUCCCACAGCAGAGCAGUUCUAAGGAGUGAGCCCAUCAGAGCACAGACAAGUAGCAGCUUUGUUAAAAAUCAGAGCCACCAAAGGCAGGGACCCGAGGAAGUCUUGGGAGGGCCCUUGGGCAAGCUUUACGCAUGCCGCAAAUAAAGAAAUCACUUCUGAUAAAUCCUUUCUUCUGCUCAAAUCAUGAAAGCCUUCUUUUUCUAGUAAGUAAAGAGGCUUUUCCUAAAUCAGGCUUUUCUCUUGGUGACAGAGGUGGGGACAGAGAAGCAAUACAGCUUGUCUUUUCAAGAUUAGUAUUUGCUCCUUACGUCAUCUGCCUAUGCUCCAAAAUUCCUCCUGUGGCUUACCCUAAAUACACCACUCCAAACGUGGGGGUGUAUUCAAAUCUUUAUUAGAGUCAAAUACAUCCCCAUUUCUAAUGAGCGCUAUGACUCAAAAGUCUGAAUCUGCACCAGGCCACGAUUAGGCCAAAUCCAGGAUCUUCGGUGGGUCCUCUUGACUCACGCUUUGCUCCUUUAAAGUGGUGAGUCAUGCUCAGCAAGCGUUCAGCACAUUGAUUACAGGGUUACUGAUGUGAAAACGCCCAUCUCUCAGGCAUUGAUUACUCUGCUGUCUAGAAAAUAGCUACAGAACACGACAGAGCUGAGACCAAUUUGGAAUAGAGGCGGCUUGGUGCUUCAAGUUUAUCAAAGAAAGAUUAUAAGGCAGAUGAAGAAAAUUGAGCUCUAGCUUCACUGAGGCUCAAAUGAGGGGAAACUGGAUAAGGAGACAGAGAAUGAACAUUAAGGAAGAAUUGUGCUGGCAAUAAAAGCCUGCAUGACACUGGAAUUAUUUUCGAAGAGUGGCUAUAGACUGAGAACCCCGCCUGAAACAAAUCUGACGCUGGACGUGGGAGCAGGUGCUGAGGGCUUUCUGCAGCCUCUUCUCGUGCUGUGACACUACACUAUUCUCUGUGAAAAUGCAUGAGGCUGGCUCUGUAAGCUACCGGAUUUUGGAGACGUCCAAAGGAGUGGUCCUCACAUCUUCAUUCAUCAGUUGGAGGCAAAAUGUUAUAUGCUGAGAUCCUACCUCUGCCACUUUCGAGCUCAUGGUCUUGGGAAAAUGCUUUAAUUUCUCUAGCCUUCAGGUCCUUCAUCUGUUAAACUGGGAGGAGGAGAUCCAUCUCAGAAGGCUGUUGUGAAGAUUGAAGAGGAAAAGACUGUGCAAACUGCGCAGCCCAGUGUCUGUCACGCAGUGAGCUCACAACAAACAGGAGCGUUUAUUGUUACUGUGCAAUUUGCUCAGAACAGCCACUCAAUUCCCCAGCUCCGGAGGUGAGGGAUGUGGUGGUAAUCUAAGGGAUUACCAUGAGCCCAGGAAGAGAGCCCAACAAUAAAGAACCGGCUCAAUGACCAAGCUCAUCUUCUCAGUUCUACUCUCAAAACCUGAUUUAACCUUGUAACCCCACACCCCAGCCCUCUGCUUCUUCCUUUGUCCUACUUUUUCUUUCUUUCUUUUCUUUUCUUUCUUUCUUUCUCUCUUUCUCUCUCUUUCUUUCUAUUCUUAUCAGUACUCAGCACCUUCUAACAUAGUAUAUAUUUAUUGAUUGUGCUCACUGUGUAUGGUCUGAGUCCCCUGGUAGAAUACAGGCUCCAUGAGGACAGGUAUCUUUGUCAUUUUUUGUCCACUGUGUAUCCUGAGCACCGAACACAGUGCCUGACACUCAUUAGACCCUUGGCUGAGUGAACAAUUCUGGCAUAAACGAUUAAAUUUACUGUCUUCAGGGUGGUAGGCCUGCCUCCAUAGUCACUCAUUCAUACAACGAGAUCUGAGACACAUACCAAGUGGACAGUGGUGGGAAUUCAAACGGGGAAAGGGAGUUGACUGGCGCCACAUUGGGAAGGGCCUUGAAUGCCAUACUAAGGACUCUGAACCUGAUCCUAGAUGUGAAGGUGGACUUACAAAGGGGUUUUAAGGUAAGGGACCAACAUGAUCACAUUGCAUUUUGGAGAGAGUCCUCUGGUGGCAGUGGAGGGACGGGGGAAAUGGAGUCACUGGAGCCCAGGAACAGCCAAGUGUGAGAUGACAAAGGCCUGAAUAAAGGCUGACCGAGAUACUGGAAAUGAGGACACAGAUUUCCCUAUUGCUUCAUCAUGGAAACAUUCUACUAGAAAACAAGCAAAGCCGGGUGUGCUAUGCAACAGACACGUGUGUUCUCCUCACUACAGAUGGAACCAGCUCACCCUAACCCCGAGCCGAGAACUGCAGAAAUAAGCCAGGAAACGAAAGGCUCCUGGGCACACAGCCCUGACACAUGAAGGAAGCCCAGACCUGGCACCUCAGCUUGUGUUCAUGGACCGGCCGCCUCAUUCCCCCUGCUGAUCCUCCAAGCUGUGCAAGGAGCAUAACCACACAGUGCCCACAGCCCUCCAGAUGCGCCAGUUAAGGAAUGCUAUAAAGUGCUUUGAGCCCCUCAAAGGAAAUAAACAUGAAAUCUAUACAUUAUUUUUGUAAGCCUGUCAACAAGUCUCUAAGUGUCCAUCUUCAAAGGAGCCCUCCUGCAGGGCACUGUAUUUCAUCUCACCCAACGUCAGAGCUCAGUAUUCCGGAUAAAGAAUUGGGUGACCGUAGGAAUCAUGGAAGGACGCACAUACCUAGGACUCCCGAAACACAAAAGGAACUGAUUAAAAGGGUCUGGAUGAGUUAGGGGAGGUGGGAGGAGAUACCGCAGGCAUCACUGAGGUGGGCGAGCAGAUGGAGGCUUUGGUCCAAGGAGGCAAAAAAUCAUAAUGAGUUAUUUUCAGGGGGUAGCUGGUGCAGGCACCCAGCGAGCCAGAAAGAGAAAUGGAAUGACUCUGAGCCUGACCAGCCAGCUGGGCCUAAAACUUUAACAAUCAACAAGUCAACCCAAAUUUGGGGGGGAUCUGCAUGAAUCUCUGUGCUAGGCCAAGGAAGUCUAAGACUAGGAGCUGAUAAUUUAACGUCAACAGGAAAGAAGCUUAACGUCGUAAGGUAUUUCAUUCAGUCAGUCGAAACCACGCUUACUGAGGGGAGCAUCACGGAACACAAAACACCAGCUGGGCACCGCAGAGCUGCAGAGGAUAAAGAUGGCUUUCUCCCCUCUCGAGGUCUAACGGUAGUGGUCAGGAUGGAAACACGUAAAGAUUGUACAGGGCCAAGGAAGCACUGGAAUGGAAGCAGAAGGUGCGAACAGAACACGCUGGGGAUGGGGAACAGAGAAUGAGUGGUUCUGGCUUAGAACGGAAAGGGAAGGCGUAACGGAGGUUGUGAUAUUAAGCAAUUAUUUAUUGAGCGUCUCUUCUGGCAAC